UUGAGGGCUGCAACGUCAGGACAGGCCUUCCCACAAUGUGUGUUUGAUCACUGGGACAUGAUGUCAUCCGAUCCACUGGAGCCUGGUACACAGGCUGCACAGCUUGUUGCUGAUAUCAGGAAGAGGAAGGGCUUGAAGGAGCAAAUGACACCACUAUCUGAGUUUGAGGACAAGCUGUAAACAUUUCGUCUUGACAUCAAGGGUGAGAUUGCGCAGCUUGUUGCUGAUAUCAGGAAGAGGGAGCAAAUGACACCGCUAUCCGAGUAGAGGACGAGCUGUAAACAUUUCAUCUUGACAUCAAGGGUGAGAUUGCGCAGCAAUAUUUUUUGCUGAUGCUUAUUUUUGUUUCAAAGUUUUUCAAUAUCCUCAUUGUGUUUAGUAAAGUAAUAUUA
rnacentral:lncRNA from 1 species